AGAGAUGCAUUGGGUUUAAAGUGUGCGCAGGCGGUUUUGUAAGACAGAGGUGAAAUCCCCGGGCUCAACCUGGGAACCGCCUUUGUGACUGCAAGGCUGGAGUGCGGCAGAGGGGGAUGGAAUUCCGCGUGUAGCAGUGAAAUGCGUAGAUAUGCGGAGGAACACCGAUGGCGAAGGCAAUCCCCUGGGCCUGCACUGACGCUCAUGCACGAAAGCGUGGGGAGCAAACA
rnacentral:rRNA from 1 species